rnacentral:rRNA from 1 species
UACGUAGGGGGCUAGCGUUGUCCGGAUUUAUUGGGCGUAAAGAGCGUGUAGGCGGCCAUGUAGGUCCGGUGUGAAAACUCGAGGCUUAACCUCGAGAUGUCAUCGGAAACCAUUUGGCUAGAGUCCGGAAGAGGAGAGUGGAAUUCCUGGUGUAGCGGUGAAAUGCGCAGAUAUCAGGAAGAACACCAACGGCGAAAGCACUCUGCUGGGCCGACACUGACACUGAGAGACGAAAGCUAGGGGAGCAAAUGGG